GUGAGCUUAGUAUGCAUUGAGUGUGCAAGGAGGGGAAACUGCUGUUUCUCCCUAGCCCUGUGGGAAAGGGCUAAAAGGCCAGAAACACUAUAAAUACUUUUCUGUGCAAGACUGUAUUGAUGCUGGUAAUGGAACUAUAAAUAACUCAUAUGAAGUUACCACUUACUGGACAGAGUCUGAAUGGUUUCUGGGGCAUCAGAGCAUGGGGAUGGAGUGUAUCCUGUUACACAAACAAACCAACCUAAGGACAACACAGUACCAUCUACACUGCAGUCAUUACUCUAGUAUUGGACCAUGACACCACCGUAUUUGAUAAUUGGGCAGCUGUCCAUUCUACUUGGAAGGAGAUAUCUUCAAGAAGCAUCUGGAGCUACCACAGCUCCUGGUACUUCAUCUAGCAAUCAAACGUGGAGGACACCACAUAUGGUGCCAUCCUGAUGCUGUGAUCAAGGUGACAAAAUGGGAACCAGUAGUUAAAUUGUCUGUUCUUUGUAUAGGCAGAAUUUGUCAGAAGCAAGGUGUAUGUUUUGUUUAGAUCAACUCACCAGGACAUCUGAGAAAAUGGAGCUGAUGUGGGAAGUGACCACACUUUGUGUGGCAAGACUGAAGAUCAAACUCCAGAAACACUGCCCAAAAAGUAUCAAGAAAAUUGACAGCAAAAGGCUAGCAGACAAAACAUUACAGCAGUGAUUUUUCAAAACGAAUUGAUUUCAGGACUUAGAUCCACAACAAGAAGUCAACAUUAACAUGACCUGGCCCUCGCUGUGUCUCAGUAUCACAGAUGCUGCAAUAACUGUAGUUUGGUUUCCAGACUAACAAAUCUAAAGUCUGGAUAAGUGAGGAUAUGUGGAACUGUGUGAAAGAAAAGAAACCUGUGACCUCGGAGCACCCAAAUGCAAAAUGGCAAGGAUUUUCCUGGUAUGUAACAGUAAAACUCAGCUAGCCUGACUAGCUCAUUGCACCUCACACACUUUUAUUUAAAAGGUGUCAUGUAAUAUAUCAUUUGAAAACUAAUAACACUCUGGUCAUUAAUCACUGUGAAAUGUCUGUAACAAAACUGUAGGUGAAACUAUGGAUACUCUGAUAUGUUUUGGAGACUAAAGAAAGGAGGCAAAAAAUUUUCCCCAGAGAAAAGGGAAGACAAACACCUGUCUCAAUAGUGAACUGAGUCAGGUGUGACCAGAGACAUGGACAAUGGACUGUUCAUUUACAGGAGAUUGCAGGAAGGGUAUUUGCAUUGUAAAAUCACUGGAGACUGUGAAAUCAGUAUGGCUUCAGCUCCCUGGGGUACUCAGCAAGAAGAGCCAAGCUGAGCCCCUCAGGAGUGCUGCCUGACUCUGAGGUCAAAGAUAAACUUUGGGGAAUAUAAGGAACUGUUGAAAGACUUCAGGGUAUCCAUCUUGAGUGAACAAAGAAACCAGCAUUUUGAUGUUGUAAGGGUGGAUCCUGGCUGGAACAGCCAGUUGAGCUGGAGAAAUGGCUGUGAAUAGGGAAACCAUGCUGAACAGGAAUAACAGCUGAUUAAGUUUUAGUCUUAGUGUUUUACUUUUGUUUAACCAUUU